AGUUUUGUGUACUUUUUUUUUUUAAUCACAGAGAUUCAUAAGGUAAAUAGUAUCACCCGGGUUUACGUGGCUGAUCUGGCUGGCUAGGUGGGUGGCUCCUUCCUCCCUCAUACCUCCAUGUGCAUCCUUCCUGAAGCUGUGUGCUUGGUUGCGUGAUCGAAAUGGACGACCACCCCCAGUAGAGGAGGACCAUUUCCUUGGUCAAGGGUACAAGAGUAGCUGCACUCCCCUGCUAGAACCUCCAAAAAAGCUUUCCAAGUAAAUAAAAUCACUCUUAUAUAUACAUUAGAAAACUUAGACUCAGAAGCUCAAGUUCAUGUUGCAAGUGCACAGUGGAGUGUGGGUUUUAUCAUAUCCUGCCUGA
rnacentral:snRNA from 1 species